rnacentral:miRNA from 1 species
GACGUCGAUAUUCGACGUCAUAAACACGAUCAACUUUGGUGUUUAUGACGUCGAUAUUCGACAUCAUAAAUACGAUCAACUUUGGUGAUUAUGACGUCGACGUUAUAAACACGAUCAACUUUGGUGUUUAUGACCUCGAUAUUCGACGUCAUAAACACGAUCAACUUAGGUGUUUAUGACGUCGACGUCAUAAACACGAUCAACUUUGGUGUUUAUGACCUCGAUAUUCGACGUC